rnacentral:lncRNA from 1 species
GAAGAGAUGAAACAGCUUCUCAUCAAAGAAAUGAUUAUUAUUCUUCAAGAAGAAAUCCACUAACAGCAUCCUUUUCAGAAUGAAGAUCUGAAAAGGAAGAGAUUAUCUCCUCUUUAAUGCUGUAUCCCAAAGCCUAGAAGAACCAGAGACUUACUAGCUAAUCAAUAAAUAUUGCUGAGUAAAUAAAUGACAGACAUUUGCAUGCAGGCCUCAAGGAGCAGCUGAAGUGAUAGAGGUAGAAUGAGGCAAUAAAUUAUUAGCAAAGAGAGCGGAGUAUUUACAGGCAGCGAUAUACUAAUGAACCUAAAAAUUUGGAGAAUAUUUGGAAAAAUAAAAGAGCUUGCAUCCCUGGAAUGCAACGAAAAGAAAAGUGCUCAAAAAGUGAUAAUAUACACAGUGUCAAUUUGUUCACUGCUUUUUUGGAAUGUUUGAAAUUUAUUGUAAGUAGAUCAUUUAUCCAUUAGAGUGACUAAGUGUUUUAAGAGUAUAGUUCUAUAAUCCCAUUCAAUUAGCUUUUAUUUAAUGGGUUCCUUCUGGUGGUGGACAUUUGAGUUGUUUACAGUUAUUAAGAAUAAAACUACUAUAAACAUAUAUCAACAAGUCUGUGUGUGUACCUAUAUUACAUUACUCUGGGAUAAUGAAAUUGUAAAAUAGUUGAGUCAUACAAUAAAUAUACUAUAUUUCUAAAUUUAUAAGAAAUUUCCAUAAAGUUCCCUAAAAUAAUCUCAUUCCACAUUUCUACCAGCAUUAUGUUAGGAUUCCACAUUUUUCCCAUGCUCAGCAAACUUGGUAAUUUUAGAAUUUCUA